rnacentral:rRNA from 1 species
AUGCGGUCCCUCGUGCUGCUGCUUCUCGUCCACCUCGUCUUCUUGGCGGAGGCCAAGGGCGGCGGCCGCGCGGGCCUGGCGGCGGCGCUGAACGACGACGUCCUGGGGCUGAUUGUCUUCAAGGCCGACGUGGUGGACCCGGAGGGGCGCCUCGCGACGUGGAGCGAGGACGACGAGCGGGCCUGCGCGUGGGCCGGCAUCACCUGCGACCCGCGCACCGGCCGCGUCUCGGGGCUCAACCUCGCCGGCUUCGGCCUCUCCGGCAAGCUCGGACGCGGCCUCCUGCGCCUCGAGUCGCUCCAGUCGCUCUCCCUCUCCGCCAACAACUUCUCCGGCGACAUCCCACCCGACCUCGCCCGCCUCCCGGACCUCCAGUCGCUCGACCUCAGCUCCAACGCCUUCUCGGGCGCCAUCCCGGAGGGAUUCUUCGGCAAGUGCCACGCCCUCCGCGACGUCUCCCUGGCCAACAACGCCUUCACCGGUGAUACCCCGGACGUGGGCGCGUGCGGCACGCUCGCGUCUCUCAACCUGUCUUCCAACCGCCUGGCCGGCAUGCUACCCAGCGGCAUCUGGUCCCUGAAUGCGCUGCGAACUCUGGACCUCUCCGGCAAUGUCAUCACCGGCGAGUUGCCUGUGGGCAUCAGCAAGAUGUUCAACCUGCGGGCGCUGAACCUGCGCAGGAACCGCCUCACAGGCAGCCUCCCGGAUGACAUUGGGGACUGUCCGCUGCUGCGGUCACUGGACCUGAGCUCUAACUCGCUCUCCGGCAACUUGCCAGAGUCCCUGCGGAGGCUCUCCACUUGCACAGACCUUGACUUGAGCUCAAAUGAGCUCACCGGAAAUGUUCCAACUUGGGUUGGAGAAAUGGUGAGCCUGGAGACGCUAGAUUUGUCGGGGAACAAGUUCUCCGGGGAGAUUCCGGGGUCAAUUGGUGGGCUCAUGUCACUGAGGGAGCUGAGGCUGUCCGGAAAUGGGUUCACCGGUGGCUUGCCUGAGUCAAUCGGUGGAUGUACAAGCCUAGUGCACGUUGACGUGAGCUGGAAUUCCCUCACUGGCAGCCUGCCUACCUGGGUAUUUGCAUCCGGUGUGCGAUGGGUAUCGGUGUCCUACAACACAUUCAGUGGUGAGGUGAUGGUGCCUGUGAAUGGAUCCUCUGUGAUUCAAGGCGUGGACCUGUCAAGCAAUUCGUUUUCAGGACGGAUCCCGUCCGAACUCUCGCAACUGCUCACCUUGCAGUCGCUGAACAUGUCUUGGAACUCGCUGUCUGGGAGUGUUCCAGCCAGCAUUGUGGAGAUGAAGUCACUGGAGCUGCUUGAUUUGAGUGCCAAUAGGCUCAAUGGGAGCAUUCCAUCUACCAUUGGAGGGAGGUCGUUCAAAGUGCUGAGCCUUGCCAAGAACUCCCUCACUGGAGAAAUCCCACCCCAGAUUGGGGAUUGCUCUGCCCUCACGUCACUGGAUCUAUCACACAACGGUUUAACCGGAGCUAUUCCAGCAACAAUAGCCAAUCUCACCAACCUUCAGACUGCUGAUCUUUCUCGGAACAAGCUCAUGGGUGGUCUGCCAAAACAGCUCUCCAACCUUGCCCACCUCGUUCGCUUCAACAUUUCACAUAACCAGCUCUCCGGGGAUCUCCCUCCUGGUAGCUUUUUUGACACAAUUUCCGUCUCAUCUGUGUCUGACAAUCCUGGCCUUUGCGGUGCAAAGCUCAACUCAUCUUGUCCUGGUGUACUACCAAAACCAAUUGUACUGAAUCCAGACUCUUCUUCCAAUCCGCUAGCACAGAAAGAGCCUGUGCCUGGGGGGCUCCAUCACAAGAAAACCAUACUGAGCAUCUCAGCCCUUGUUGCAAUCGGUGCUGCUGUUCUCAUUGCUGUUGGUAUCAUAACCAUUACUGUUCUUAACCUUCAAGUUCGCGCCCCAGGUUCUCAUUCUGCUGCUGCUGCUGCUGCUGCUGCUGCGCUGGAACUCUCGGAUGGAUAUCUCAGUCAGUCUCCAACAACUGACGUGAAUGCAGGCAAGCUUGUAAUGUUUGGAGGAGGCAAUCCAGAAUUCAGUGCCAGUACCCAUGCUCUUCUGAACAAGGACUGUGAGCUCGGCCGUGGUGGUUUUGGCACUGUUUACAAGACCACUCUCCGAGAUGGCCAACCUGUUGCCAUCAAGAAACUGACAGUGUCAAGCUUGGUCAAAUCUCAAGAUGAAUUUGAGAGGGAAGUGAAGAUGCUGGGCAAGUUACGCCACCGUAACCUUGUUGCACUCAAGGGCUAUUACUGGACGCCAUCACUUCAGCUUCUUAUCUACGAGUUUGUCUCUGGGGGUAACUUGCAUAAACAACUUCAUGAAUCGUCCAAUGCAAAUUACCUUUCAUGGAAGGAAAGAUUUGACAUAGUUCUUGGUAUGGCAAGAAGCCUGGCUCACCUCCACAGGCAUGACAUUAUCCACUACAACCUGAAGUCAAGCAACAUUAUGCUUGAUGGUUCUGGUGAGGCCAAGGUGGGGGACUACGGAUUGGCAAAGCUACUGCCGGUGUUGGAUCGGUAUGUUCUAAGCAGCAAGGUACAGAGUGCACUUGGUUACAUCGCACCAGAAUUUACAUGCAGGACUGUGAAGAUAACCGAGAAAUGUGAUGUGUAUGGAUUUGGAGUUCUUGUGCUGGAGGUCAUGACAGGGAGGGCACCAGUGGAGUACAUGGAAGAUGAUGUUAUUGUACUGUGUGAUGUGGUGAGGGCUGCUUUGGAUGAAGGCAAAGUGGAAGAGUGUGUCGAUGAGAAGCUCUGCGGAAAAUUCCCACUGGAAGAGGCUGUUCCGAUCAUGAAACUUGGCUUAGUCUGUACUUCUCAGGUUCCCUCCAAUAGGCCAGACAUGAGUGAGGUGGUGAACAUAUUGGAGUUGAUCAGAUGCCCACAGGACAGCCCAGAAGCCGAAUUAGGUUAA